RUUCGAUUCCUUCCUUUCUUA
rnacentral:tRNA from 1 species